CUUAGUGACCAUAGACUAUAUAUUACAUGGACUGCCAACACUAAGGAAACUAAGCAUAAGUUCCAUUCACCGAGGCGUCCUUGGUUGCGUGGUAAAUUGACUUCCGGUAGAAUUUUUUUUACUAUAUAAAGAAACCAUUCCCGAAGAUUUUUAUCACCACUUUUACAGCAAAUCAUAAAUGGAAACUUAAUUGUCAUAUACGAUGUUACAGAGAUCUAUUCCUAUACACUGAUGAGUGAUUGCUACCAUUCAAUGUGUGGAUUCAAGUAUUUACCCAGAUACUGCCACAAUAUGUUCUUAUUGUUUUCAAAGGAGUUUGCACACAGUGCCCGAAGCUGUAUAAAUACAUUUAACAAUGUAUAUUUCAAGAAGAAAUGAUGCUUUCUUAUUCCUAAGAGUUUAUCAAUAGGAUGAAUGCCACAAAACUCACUUGUUAUGCCAGAAACUCUUCCUACGAAACUUCCAUACUAGAAUUUGUCCAGUGCCUGUGAUCCUCUGAGUUGAAGGAGAAUGUGCUCCAUAAUACCUACUAGGAGCUUGCUGAUAGCUGGAAGUUCAUGAAUACUAUGUUGUCCUUGAUUUUAUGAUUCUGAAAACUACCAUUUCUGAAGACUUGAGCAUUAUUUCUAUAAUUUAAAAAAAUCUUUUCAGGAAAUAUUGUGUUUAUAAUAUUAAGAAAGUGAAGAUAAUAUUGUUCUUACUAAUAUUAUUGACUUAUUAAAAUAGAAAGCACAUCAUUACUUCAAUAAUUCACUUGUCAGU